CAAGGGUAAACAAGGAUCUCCCCUGGAAGGCCCGGCUUCUGGAACCUUCCCCUCAGACCUGGAUGGGAUCUUCCCCUCCCAGAGCCAUCCUUCUCUCUCUGGGCACAGUUGAAGCACAUGUUUAGCCAUCAGGUUCCAGAUGCUACCAUGAUGCCAACCUGACUUCCCAGGGCAGAUGACCCCACCAAUGUGUCCUGGAGCCUCUCCUCCCCCAGAGCCCUGCUUUGCUAAAGAAAGAGAAAGGCUGGGAGUAUGAAUCAACCUGCCAAUGCCCAUGUUCAACAGGGAAGCAAUUACAGAAGCCAGAUCUUCCACCUUCUGCACCCCAUAAUGAUUCUGGGUCCAUACAGCCAGAGGGAUAAAAAAUAGGAAAGCAUUCAAGGGAGGGGAUGGAAUAUGGAGUUCUGUUGGUGGGAAUUGUGUGGAAUUGUACCCCUCUUAUCCUAUGGUCUUGUCAAUAUAAAUAAAAAUUAAAAAAAAUUUA